rnacentral:rRNA from 1 species
GCCUAWACAUGCAAGUCGAACGAACUCCGUUAAUGAUUAUGACGUACUGUACUGAUUGAGAUUUAACACGAAGUGAGUGCGAACGGGUGAGUAACACGUGGGUAACCUGCCCAGAAGUAGGGGAUAACACCUGGAAACAGAUGCUAAUACCGUAUAACAGAGAAAACCGCAUGGUUUUCUUUUAAAAGAUGGCUCUGCUAUCACUUCUGGAUGGACCCGCGGCGUAUUAGCUAGUUGGUGAGGUAAAGGCUCACCAAGGCAGUGAUACGUAGCCGACCUGAGAGGGUAAUCGGCCACAUUGGGACUGAGACACGGCCCAGACUCCUACGGGAGGCAGCAGUAGGGAAUCUUCCACAAUGGACGCAAGUCUGAUGGAGCAACGCCGCGUGAGUGAAGAAGGGUUUCGGCUCGUAAAGCUCUGUUGUUAAAGAAGAACGUGGGUAAGAGUAACUGUUUACCCAGUGACGGUAUUUAACCAGAAAGCCACGGCUAACUACGUGCCAGCAGCCGCGGUAAUACGUAGGUGGCAAGCGUUAUCCGGAUUUAUUGGGCGUAAAGCGAGCGCAGGCGGUCUUUUAAGUCUAAUGUGAAAGCCUUCGGCUCAACCGAAGAAGUGCAUUGGAAACUGGGAGACUUGAGUGCAGAAGAGGACAGUGGAACUCCAUGUGUAGCGGUGAAAUGCGUAGAUAUAUGGAAGAACACCAGUGGCGAAGGCGGCUGUCUGGUCUGCAACUGACGCUGAGGCUCGAAAGCAUGGGUAGCGAACAGGAUUAGAUACCCUGGUAGUCCAUGCCGUAAACGAUGAUUACUAAGUGUUGGAGGGUUUCCGCCCUUCAGUGCUGCAGCUAACGCAUUAAGUAAUCCGCCUGGGGAGUACGACCGCAAGGUUGAAACUCAAAAGAAUUGACGGGGGCCCGCACAAGCGGUGGAGCAUGUGGUUUAAUUCGAAGCUACGCGAAGAACCUUACCAGGUCUUGACAUCUUCUGACAGUCUAAGAGAUUAGAGGUUCCCUUCGGGGACAGAAUGACAGGUGGUGCAUGGUGUCGUCAGCUC